UCCUGGCUCAGGAUGAACGCUGGCGGCGUGCCUAAUACAUGCAAGUCGAGCGAACGGACGAGAAGCUUGCUUCUCUGAUGUUAGCGGCGGACGGGUGAGUAACACGUGGAUAACCUACCUAUAAGACUGGGAUAACUUCGGGAAACCGGAGCUAAUACCGGAUAAUAUUUUGAACCGCAUGGUUCAAAAGUAAAAGACGGUCUUGCUGUCACUUAUAGAUGGAUCCGCGCUGCAUUAGCUAGUUGGUAAGGUAACGGCUUACCAAGGCAACGAUGCAUAGCCGACCUGAGAGGGUGAUCGGCCACACUGGAACUGAGACACGGUCCAGACUCCUACGGGAGGCAGCAGUAGGGAAUCUUCCGCAAUGGGCGAAAGCCUGACGGAGCAACGCCGCGUGAGUGAUGAAGGUCUUCGGAUCGUAAAACUCUGUUAUUAGGGAAGAACAUAUGUGUAAGUAACUGUGCACAUCUUGACGGUACCUAAUCAGAAAGCCACGGCUAACUACGUGCCAGCAGCCGCGGUAAUACGUAGGUGGCAAGCGUUAUCCGGAAUUAUUGGGCGUAAAGCGCGCGUAGGCGGUUUUUUAAGUCUGAUGUGAAAGCCCACGGCUCAACCGUGGAGGGUCAUUGGAAACUGGAAAACUUGAGUGCAGAAGAGGAAAGUGGAAUUCCAUGUGUAGCGGUGAAAUGCGCAGAGAUAUGGAGGAACACCAGUGGCGAAGGCGACUUUCUGGUCUGUAACUGACGCUGAUGUGCGAAAGCGUGGGGAUCAAACAGGAUUAGAUACCCUGGUAGUCCACGCCGUAAACGAUGAGUGCUAAGUGUUAGGGGGUUUCCGCCCCUUAGUGCUGCAGCUAACGCAUUAAGCACUCCGCCUGGGGAGUACGACCGCAAGGUUGAAACUCAAAGGAAUUGACGGGGACCCGCACAAGCGGUGGAGCAUGUGGUUUAAUUCGAAGCAACGCGAAGAACCUUACCAAAUCUUGACAUCCUUUGACAACUCUAGAGAUAGAGCCUUCCCCUUCGGGGGACAAAGUGACAGGUGGUGCAUGGUUGUCGUCAGCUCGUGUCGUGAGAUGUUGGGUUAAGUCCCGCAACGAGCGCAACCCUUAAGCUUAGUUGCCAUCAUUAAGUUGGGCACUCUAAGUUGACUGCCGGUGACAAACCGGAGGAAGGUGGGGAUGACGUCAAAUCAUCAUGCCCCUUAUGAUUUGGGCUACACACGUGCUACAAUGGACAAUACAAAGGGCAGCGAAACCGCGAGGUCAAGCAAAUCCCAUAAAGUUGUUCUCAGUUCGGAUUGUAGUCUGCAACUCGACUACAUGAAGCUGGAAUCGCUAGUAAUCGUAGAUCAGCAUGCUACGGUGAAUACGUUCCCGGGUCUUGUACACACCGCCCGUCACACCACGAGAGUUUGUAACACCCGAAGCCGGUGGAGUAACCUUUUAGGAGCUAGCCGUCGAAGGUGGGACAAAUGAUUGGGGUGAAGUCGUAACAAGGUAGCCGUAUCGGAAGGUGCGGCUGGAUCACCU
rnacentral:rRNA from 2 species